UACAGAGGGGGCAAGCGUUGUUCGGAAUUACUGGGCGUAAAGGGCGCGCAGGCGGCUGCUCAAGUCAGGCGUGAAAGGCCUGGGCUCAACCCGGGAAUUGCGCUUGAGACUGGGCUGGCUUGAGUGCGGGAGAGGAUGGUGGAAUUCCCAGUGUAGAGGUGAAAUUCGUAGAUAUUGGGAAGAACCCCGGUGGCGAAGGCGGCCAUCUGGACCGCAACUGACGCUGAGGCGCGAAAGCGUGGGGAGCAAACAGG
rnacentral:rRNA from 1 species